CUUCAGAACUGGAACCUGCUUCAGAGCGUCGGUUUUUGCUGCCUUCAGCGUCUCGCAGAUCAAACUUCUGACAGGAAGCUGUCAGAACUCUCUCAGCUGCAACUUCCUGCUUGACAAACAGCCUUCAGUGAGGCUCCAGAAACAUGAAACACAAGUUCAAAAUUAUUUCAAUGAAAAUUAAGUUUUUUGGGGUUUUUUUUGUUUUUUUGUUUUUUUUACCAAAGUGAGGUUUUUAAGAUGAGCAAAAGAAGCACACCAGGUGGUGACAUCAUUCUGAUGUCACUACUGUACAGCCAUUGAGAGAAGCUGACGGCUGAGAAAGUUCAAACGAGGAGCUGAACGCUGUAAAAGUUUCACCAAAAUGCGACAUUGGAUUGUUUUUCGUAUUUUUUCUUAAUGCAGUUAGUUUUUUCCUUAUUUUUGAUGAUUUUUUGUUUUCUCCGUGUGGUUAACGUGUCAUCGUGACAUCAUAGGACGUCGUGGAAAUGUUUCACAUGUCAUUUUAUGGCGUUAAAAUGACACGUGAAACGGUCGAGUUCAGCCUCUAUGACGACAUGCAGAGUGACUUGGCAUGUUGCUACACGUGUUCCGUGGGGUUCGGUCGUGUGACGUUGUGAUGUAAACAUGGUUCGUCGUGGAAACCAGCUGGUUGGUUCUUCGUCAUCGAGUUGGGUUUUCUCUGAUGAUGAAUGCUGUGACAUCACAACAGAACCUGCUCUGACUCGCUGAAUGGUGACAUCGCAGCUCCUCGGUGACAUCAGCGACCACGCUUUUGUUUUGUCGUCGUUUCUUUUUUAUUUCCUGUUUUUCAACCAGCUCUGAUUUGUUUCUUCAGUUCUGUGAGUCUUAAGAGACGACCUGCGUUCUUCUGCCAUUGAGAAAUUGGACCAACAGUGCAUUUAGUUUUAUUAUUAUUUCUACUUUUAUUUUUUUUUAAUUUUUUUUACUUCUGCUGCUCUGCAACCGUCUUGUGUUGGUUGAAAUCAGCCAAUAACCUUUGAGGAGGUGUAUGAUGUAGACACGUCCAGUUGCAUGCUUCCUCAGAGCGUUGCCUGAAAACUCACCCCAAACUAAAACUCCUGUUUUCUAAACCUUUUCUUGGUUUUCUUGGGUACUCAGUGGGAGGUGAAGCUCGCUGUGUACAGACAGGAAGUGGUCCUGCAGAUCGUUGAAGGUCGCUUGCUUGCCGUCGCUCAGAUUUUCUGCUCUUUGAUACUUGUGUUGCUCCGUCACUGUAUAUCUAUUGUACUGAACAUGUAUGGAAGUUAACACCAUCUUACUGCACAAUCAGAACUGCAUCUAUAGGAAUGAAGAAGAAGCUGUCUGAGGCUGAAUAUUUAAACAGAAGUUAGAUCAUAAAAGCUUUCCUCAUGUAUGAACCUGC
ensembl:lncRNA